rnacentral:rRNA from 1 species
GACGAACGCUGGCGGCGUGCCUAAUACAUGCAAGUUGAGCGAUGAAGAUUGGUGCUUGCACCAAUUUGAAGAGCAGCGAACGGGUGAGUAACGCGUGGGGAAUCUGCCUUUGAGCGGGGGACAACAUUUGGAAACGAAUGCUAAUACCGCAUAACAACUUUAAACAUAAGUUUUAAGUUUGAAAGAUGCAAUUGCAUCACUCAAAGAUGAUCCCGCGUUGUAUUAGCUAGUUGGUGAGGUAAAGGCUCACCAAGGCGAAGAUACAUAGCCGACCUGAGAGGGUGGUCGGCCACAUUGGGACUGGGACACGGCCCAAACCCCUACGGGAGGCAGCCGUAGGGAAUCUUCGGCAAUGGACGAAAGUCUGGCCGAGCAACGCCGCGUGAGUGAAGAAGGUUUUCGGAUCGUAAAACUCUGUUGGUAGAGAAGAACGUUGGUGAGAGUGGAAAGCUCAUCAAGUGACGGUAACUACACAGAAAGGGACGGCUAACUACGUG